rnacentral:rRNA from 1 species
UGGCGACCAUAUCCGAAAGGAAACACCUGUCCCCAUUCCGAACACAGUAGUUAAGCUUUCGGAGCCGAUGAUAGUGCCUACCAGUGCGAAAGUAGGUAUCGC